CGUGGGUAACCUGCCCAANAGAUCGGGAUAACACCUGGAAACAGAUGCUAAUACCGGAUAACAACAGAUGAUGCCUAUCAACUGUUUAAAAGAUGGUUCUGCUAUCACUCUUGGAUGGACCUGCGGUGCAUUAGCUAGUUGGUAGGGUAACGGCCUACCAAGGCGAUGAUGCAUAGCCGAGUUGAGAGACUUAUCGGCCACAUUGGGACUGAGACACGGCCCAAACUCCUACGGGAGGCAGCAGGA
rnacentral:rRNA from 1 species